CCUACGGGUGGCAGCAGUGAGGAAUAUUGGUCAAUGGGCGGGAGCCUGAACCAGCCAAGCCGCGUGAGGGAAGAAGGUACAGCGUAUCGUAAACCUCUUUUGUCAGGGAACAAAGGCGGGGACUAGUCCCCGGAUGAGGGUACCUGACGAAAAAGCAUCGGCUAACUCCGUGCCAGCAGCCGCGGUAAUCCGGAGGAUGCGAGCUUUAUCCGGGUUUAGGGGGUUUAAAGGGUGCGCAGGCGGACUGUUAAGUCAGCGGGAAAAGCCCGGGGCUCAACCCCGACGAGCCGUUGAAACUGGCGGGCUGGAGUUGGAGAGAAGUAAGCGGAAUGCGCGGUGUAGCGGUGAAAUGCUUAGAUAUCGCGCAGAACCCCGAUUGCGAAGGCAGCGUACCGGCUCCACACUGACGCUGAGGAACGAAAGCGUGGGUAUCGAACAGGAUUAGAUACCCGAGUAGUC
rnacentral:rRNA from 1 species